GGCGAAGCGAGCGGACGCCCUCCGAGCUUUCUUUGUUCCUCCUGCCCGCCGCCUGUUCCGUGGAUGUUAUCAACGCUCGUGCGUCCCUGACGCCCGCUGAUUGGCUGGAGGGUCGGGAUCAAGCAAAGCAGUGUGGGCAGAGCGAGGACGCUGCGUCUGGAGGGAAGAUGCUCUCAGCUGCAGCUGCAGGAGGCGCAGUCGCCGUCGCUGUGGGAUCGAACAGUCACGAUACCUCAGCCUCUGCUUCUCCUGUGAGUCUGUGUUCGACGCCAAAGUCUUGGAAUUGAGUGGAAGCUGAAAACUGUGUCAGAAAACAGGCCAAAGUAAGAAUAAGGAUUAGAAGACUGGUGCUUCUUUUACUAUAAUCAGCUCUGUGGCUCUCAAUUCAAUUUACAAGUGAGGCACAACCAACAUAUUUAUUAUUAUUAUGCAGAACACUGGCAGUGUUGGCAGGUUGCAUGUUGUGGGAACACGCUCUCCUUCCGUCUGACACCAAAUAAACACUGUGGCAUCUGACUGAGGCUGGUCCUGCUGGAGCUAAUGGAGCCGUGGGGCGCAACGGUUGCAGGACAUGAGUAUUAACGAAGUUUUGUUUUUAAGCCCAGGCAUCUUUUAGUUCACUUACUGUCUUUGCUGUUUGUGCUCAGCUUUUUUUGGCCAAGCUUUCACAUAGCUGCCUGUCCCCCAACAGGCUGUGAGCGUUCAGUAUCAGCUCCACUGUGUCGAUGAUGCAGUGCUGGAGCGUUAAGAGGAGCAGCUCAAUGCUGCCACCUGGCGGCAGGAAAUCUAACAGGAAGCAGAAAAGCUGCAGAGAGACAAGCAGCACUCACAUGGUGAGUGGCUGUGCAGCGUCUCAGUUAUAGACCUGCAUUUAAAAGCAACAGCAGCAGCUGUUGCUUUUAUCUUAUCUCAUCUUAUAUUAAAAAAAUAGCAAUUGUUCACUCUUCUCAGCUCUAAAUGAAUAAUGCUGUACCAAAACAGGCUCAUCUUUGUAUUAGGCAUCCUGCUGUGAACCUCCAGGGGUGAACAGACAGUGACCUUUUCUGACACUGGAUUGUUCUUGCACUAUUUCCAUUUUAUUGAUUUCUUGUUUUACAAAAACAGUUAUGACAGAAUGCAUAGACUGAGCCACUUAUUCGACUCAUCAAUGACAACAGAAGAAAAGAACCAAACAAAAACCUGGCGUCAGGACGAGACAAAUUUAUUUGAAAAAGAAAGCAACACUGUUUGCAGCAGUUCCUGUAUGUGCAUACAUACGGUUAUGGUCUCUUUCACACGACUGAAUGACAUAAUUGUCAUCAAGCAAACACAGGCAACACACACUCACUUACUAGCACACACUGCAUGGGAAACCAUGGGAUGCAUCUGACAAACCACAGACACUAACACAGUGAAGGAAAUGCAUAGAAAUAUUCGGAUAAAGAAUCGGGUGACGCAAAGAGAAUAGGAUUUUCUCUGCGUAUAUUUGGAAUUUAAAGUUCAGAUUUAUUAGGUUUGAAAAUAAAAAAAAACAAUUGUUUGUAGUUAGACAAAAGCAAAUAAGACAAAAUAAAAUGGGUGAACUGACUGUCAAUUUAGUUACGAUUUUUGAAACAAUGGGAGUGUAGCCGUCGCACUGAAACACAAGCGUCUAAUCACUAGCAGCAACAGUGGCUCCCACGGAGUCUCCACCGACUACAUCAGCAGCGCAAUGAUUAGCAGUUAGUCUGUUAGCAUCUCUAACAGCAUCAGACGAGGUUUAACUGCUGCGUCCUUCAUGUUCCUUUAUGCAUUUCUGCAAAGCUGAGAGCUUCACACUGAACGGUCCUUCAAUAGCAUCAGUGGAAACAUAUCUUCAGCUCUUUGGGGCUGGACACUCGAGCUGGUUCUGCAAUCUACAGCACAACGGCACCAAGUAAGUGAGCAACAGCCCAGUGACCUCACACCAGCACAAUGACCCAUCAGGCCGUCAAAUGUUAAAUGUUAAAUUAACUUUACUGCAACGGCCUUGGCUUUUACAGACAGACAGUGAUUGGUGCAAAGCCAUGCAUGUAAAUAUUACAGAGCUUCUGGUGUGGCCUGAUUACAGAAAUGCAUAAAGGAACAUUAGUGGCACAGUUGCCAGGAAUUAAUAUGGAAGUCAAAACACAGUUCUUGUCAGCUUCACU